GCCCUCUCUCCGGCAGCACAUAUAUUAAAAUCGGAAUGAUACAGAGAAGAUUAGCAUAGCCC
rnacentral:snRNA from 1 species